UGGGGAAGUAUUGCACAAUGGGCGGCAAGCCUGAUGCAGCCAUGCCGCGUGUAUGAAGAAGGCCUUCGGGUUGUAAAGAUACUUUCAGCGGGGAGGAAGGUGUUGAGGUUAAUAACCUCAGCAAUUGACGUUACCCGCAGAAGAAGCACCGGCUAACUCCGUGCCAGCAGCCGCGGUAAUACGGAGGGUGCAAGCGUUAAUCGGAAUUACUGGGCGUAAAGCGCACGCAGGCGGUCUGUCAAGUCGGAUGUGAAAUCCCCCGGGCUCAACCUGGGAACUGCAUUCGAAACUGGCAGGCUAGAGUCUUGUAGAGGGGU
rnacentral:rRNA from 1 species